rnacentral:tRNA from 1 species
UGGUAGUUGGCAGAGCGGCUUUUGCGACGGACUGUUAAUCCGUGUCAGAAAUGACAAGACUGGUUCGACUCCAGUACUACCAGC